UCCAAUGAAAAUGCCAGUCAUGGAAAUUUUGAAGCAUUUCACACCACUGUCCAUCUGAAUUUAGAUAACUCUGCUCUGGCUGUGAGAGGGAAUAAGGCCAAAUGUGAGAAAGUGCAGAUAAGUGUUUUUGAGGUAGGGUGCAGUACUUUGAUCUUUUGUGUGCUGUAUUGGGACACCAUAUGGUCAUUGGACUCAAAAUUUUCUGUGGUGGAUUCAAGAAGAGCUGGGAUUGAAAUCUAAAUCAAGCAAGCUAGGGGACAGCAUUUCAAAUGACCAUAACCUUCAAUGAAAUAUGAAGGACAAGGACAAUCGAAACUGUAAGAGCUAUACAUAGGGAUUUGCCCCUUCCCCAAACCUCAGAAGGGCUUCACCACCAUGCCCAUAGAAGGGCUUCACCACCAUGCCCAUAGAAGGGUUUCACCACAGUGCUCAUAGAAGGGCUUCACCAGUGCUCAUAGAAGUGCUUCACCUGACCAUACUGAUAGAAAAGCUACACCACCGUGCCCAUAGGCUUGUUGCCCUCAGCUACUGAUAUUUCCAUUUUUCUCAAAGUUGGCAAGUAUGGUGGUGAUUGAUUGAUUUUGAAAUUCCCUGCUACCAAACUUUGAUUAUGCUAUGUAGAAUUAGGAACUAAUCAUCAUAAACCUUAGUCCUCUUCCAAAAGACAAGAUAUCUUCCCUUUGACAGAUUUGCCUAUCCAUAAUGAUAAAUCCUAUGGCAAGUUCUCUAGGGUAGAUGGGAUUAAAUGGUCCAAAGUGUAAUGUAAGAUAUAAACAUCAUAAAACAGAUUUGAGAUUCUGGCAACAAUUAAAACUAUAUUUGCCAGAAUUAAUGGGCUUAGGCCUCAUGAACCUGUAAUCUAUAGAUCAGUUAUGACAUCACAGCUG